rnacentral:rRNA from 1 species
GAUGAACGCUGGCGGCGUGCCUAAUACAUGCAAGUCGAGCGAACAGACGAGGAGCUUGCUCCUCUGACGUUAGCGGCGGACGGGUGAGUAACACGUGGAUAACCUACCUAUAAGACUGGGAUAACUUCGGGAAACCGGAGCUAAUACCGGAUAAUAUAUUGAACCGCAUGGUUCAAUAGUGAAAGACGGUUUUGCUGUCACUUAUAGAUGGUUCCGCGCCGCAUUAGCUAGUUGGUAAGGUAACGGCUUACCAAGGCAACGAUGCGUAGCCGACCUGAGAGGGUGAUCGGCCACACUGGAACUGAGACACGGUCCAGACUCCUACGGGAGGCAGCAGUAGGGAAUCUUCCGCAAUGGGCGAAAGCCUGACGGAGCAACGCCGCGUGAGUGAUGAAGGUCUUCGGAUCGUAAAACUCUGUUAUUAGGGAGGAACAAAUGUGUAAGUAACUAUGCACGUCUUGACGGUACCUAAUCAGAAAGCCACGGCUAACUACGUG